AACUUAAUAAAUUUUUCUUAGUUUGUAUAUAUUUAUUUAUGUUGUAUUUUUUUAAAAUAAAUCACUAUUACAAAAAUAUUAAAAAUGACCCUAAAAAAAAAUGAAGGGCUUACUUAUACCCUAUUUACAAAAAUUAGCAGCAGAUGUUGUGAAGAAAAAGAUUGAAGAUGCAAUUAUGAUGAAGCUAGAUGUGGCAUCCUUCUCUUCCACUUCCAACAUAAUUCGUCUUGCAGAUUUUGGUUGUGGAGUUGGAUCAAAUACAAUAACUGCUAUGCAUGAUUUACUAGAGUUUGUAAAGAAAAAGUAUAUGUCUCAGUGUCCUGCAUCUCAAAUGCCUGAAUUUCAAGUGAUUUUCAAUGAUCAAUCCACCAAUGAUUUUAACACCCUCUUUACCUCUCUCCCGCAAGACAAGGAAAACAUGGUAGUUGGGGUGCUAGGUUCUUUCCAUGACCAAGUGCUACCCAAGUCAUCUCUCCAUUUAGCCCAUUGUUCGUAUUCACUGCAUUGGCUCUCUAAGUUGCCAAAGGAAUUGCAAGACAAGCACUGUCCUACAUGGAUACAAAAACAUAAUUAACUUAAAAAAGGAUUGAACCAAAGCAAAAGAAAUGGUAGUCCAAAAUUAGACUUUGUUCUGUAAUUGGUAGACAUGCAUUCAGAUUAAUUAAAGGUUCAAGAAAAGAAAGAAUACUAUGAAUUUGUCAAAACCUUGCAAAAAUUCUAUAGAAACAUAAUCAAUGUUGAAACAUAGUUGAUAGUACUAAACACAACCAGUACUUAGAAAAUACAAAAGCAUUUUCUCAAAAAAAGAUACAAUAGCAAAUGGAUACUUAAAUUCCUCGCACACCUUUACGUGAAUAAAGAAAAAGCAAACAAACUUAGGACCUUUAAAAUCGAUGGUUUCUUGAUUUAUAGAUGUUGAUCAAGUUGAUCAAGCUGAUGAUGGCCUUACUAUAAUACUAAAGUUGUUCUCACCAUCUUCUCUGUAAAGAGUGAUCACAGCGUGGAUAUUAGGUGCAGCAAAAUUCCUCCACUGAUUCUCGGAGAUGGGAACAAUGGAAUUAAAAAACAAUGGAUAAUGUCAUCAAAAGCCUGACAUAUUAUAGUAAUAGUUGAACCCUAUAUGUGUAAUGAAUUCAUCAAGAAAUCCUCUGCCUUUACAAGUCUAAGAGGCCACAAAACAUUUGCAAAGAAUCUUCUCUCUGUUUUGUAGCAGAACGUGGGGAGACCAAUGGGGAUUUGCCCAACUAAUUUUCAUUGACCGUUUCUUUUUCAAUGAUGAAGAAAACCCAAAAAGUAAAAAGUAAACAACAGAAAAAAACUAAAAAUAAUGGUGAAGGAUCAAAAGAUGAACGAUGGCAAAAACCCAAAAAAACUUACUAGUCACUUGAUGAAAGAAGGCCCAGAAAGUGUAGGAUCAAGGAUGGAAACAACUUGGACUUGCUAAAGAUAAAGCCAGAAAUCAGAAACCAAAAAGGGCAGUUGGCAGAAACUAGAUAGAGCGAGAGUGGAGACUAGACGGCAGUCGGUAAAAACCAGAAAAGGCGAGAGUUGAGACGGGACGACAAUUGGUAAAAACCAGAAAGAGCGAGAGUGGAGACGGGAUGGCGGUCAGACGGUAGUCGGCAGAAACCAGAAAAGGCGUUAGUGGAGACGAGAGUCACGGGACGGCAGUCGACACUUGGCAAAAAUCAGAAAGGGGAAUUGAGAUAUUCAUAUUUAGGUUUAGGAAUUUUUGACGUAAAAUCUUCAAAAUAUCCUUAUUUAAGUUCGAUUAGUUCAGUUAAAUAUUUUUUAA
rnacentral:lncRNA from 1 species